rnacentral:lncRNA from 10 species
UCUAGUAUUUACUAUAUUUUAGUACUUUUUAAGUAUUGUAUUUAAGUAAAUACAAUUUACUAUUUGAAAAGGUCUAAAUGUUGUUGUUUUCAAAAUAUUUUAUAAGUAAUUUUUUAAAUUAAAAGGAUGUCUGUAAACAUCUUAACUAUAAGUUCAUCUCUUAGGUAAAUCAGAUGGAAAAGUUGGGCCGUUCCACGCUAAAGGAAAUGUUUCUUUAAAAAAUUUCCUUUUUAUUCAAAGUAUAAACACAGUUUUGAAAGACAUGUUUGUUUUUAAGGAACUUUAUUCUGACCAAAUUGGAUCAAGACAGGGAAAGAUUUUUUUAAGAAGUGUUUUUCAAGGGAAAUCAACUGCAUGCAUAAAAGUAUGUCGUCAUUGCCUCCCAUGAGCUCUGCUGUGUGCCUGUGAUGUUCCAUGCAGCUGGCCUCUGAAGACCUGGGAGCUGAGGUUGCCGCCCUGAAGGAGCUGGAGGUGGACAAGCCCCUUUUGGGGAAUUCAGCUGGGCAUGUGUUGGGGUGACAGUAGAUCACUGGAACGAGUGGGACUAUUUAAAAGAGGAAGAGGCAAAGACUGCUGUGAUUUGGAUUUGGUGGGCUCAAAGAGUCAUCUGAAAACCCUAGUAAGACAAAGAAUUUGAAAGAGAGAAGUGUAUCUAUAAUAUAUAAAUAGAAGUCUUUGGGACAUGGGUGAAGACUUCAUAUAUGGAUAUAUAGCUCACAGCUGGUAAGCCAUCACGAAGCUGGUGAUGUAGUAAAGGCAGAAUUUUAAACAGAAUUUUAUGAAUGUUUUAUUUUCAUGAGAAACGUCAUGGAAGGGGAAAGAUUUUGGGGGUAAGAUUUGUUUCCUUUUAUGUGUUAUGUGGGAAUAACUACACUUGAACUCCAAGCUAGUAUGAAGAUUCUUAGAGCGCCUGUCAAAGCCCGUUAUCUCAAUACACCCAUAAUAAAGAACAGA